rnacentral:rRNA from 1 species
UACGAAGGGUGCAAGCGUUAUUCGGAUUUAUUGGGCGUAAAGGGUGCGUAGACGGCAUGUUAAGUCCGCUGUUAAAUUUCCCAGCUUAACUGGGAGCCAGCGGUGGAUACUGAUGUGCUAGAGGAUGGAAGAGAGAAGUGGAAUUCCCGGAGUAGCGGUAAAAUGCGUAGAUCUCGGGAGGAACACCAAUGGCGAAGGCAGCUUCUUGGUCCAUAUCUGACGUUGAGGCACGAAAGCGUGGGGAGCAAACAGG